rnacentral:rRNA from 1 species
GUCGAUUUGGAGGUUGUGCCCUUGAGGCGUGGCUUCCGGAGCUAACGCGUUAAAUCGACCGCCUGGGGAGUACGGCCGCAAGGUUAAAACUCAAAUGAAUUGACGGGGGCCCGCACAAGCGGUGGAGCAUGUGGUUUAAUUCGAUGCAACGCGAAGAACCUUACCUACUCUUGACAUCCAGAGAACUUUCCAGAGAUGGAUUGGUGCCUUCGGGAACUCUGAGACAGGUGCUGCAUGGCUGUCGUCAGCUCGUGUUGUGAAAUGUUGGGUUAAGUCCCGCAACGAGCGCAACCCUUAUCCUUUGUUGCCAGCGGUUCGGCCGGGAACUCAAAGGAGACUGCCAGUGAUAAACUGGAGGAAGGUGGGGAUGACGUCAAGUCAUCAUGGCCCUUACGAGUAGGGCUACACACGUGCUACAAUGGCGUAUACAAAGAGAAGCGACCUCGCGAGAGCAAGCGGACCUCAUAAAGUACGUCGUAGUCCGGAUUGGAGUCUGCAACUCGACUCCAUGAAGUCGGAAUCGCUAGUAAUCGUAGAUCAGAAUGCUACGGUGAAUACGUUCCCGGGCCUUGUACACACCGCCCGUCACACCAUGGGAGUGGGUUGCAAAAGAAGUAGGUAGCUUAACCUUCGGGAGGGCGCUUACCACUUUGUGAUUCAUGACUGGGGUGAAGUCGUAACAAGGUAACCGUA